GCAUCGGUAAGGCCCAGAGGCAUAUGCACAGCAGCUGAAAAGCUGAUGAAGAAGGACUGAAGCCGCUUUUCUGAAGUUCCUCAGAAGAAACCUCUAUACAUACAGGGGAAAAGGCUAAGGUGUGUUUGCCUUUGAGAGAAAAGAGCCAGACGGGACUGAGAGGUAAAGAAAAAAGCAUCAUAUGAGACACCAUGAAGAAAAUCAGCUCUGUCCCAGAUGAAAUCAGGACAAUGGGAUCCAGCCCUAUGGCAGACCACAACCCACGAGCACCCAGUACUGCCAAGCACCAGAAUUGUAAAUCUCUUGAAAAGCUGUUUUUCAAAAUGCUCCAGUCCAUCCUAUUACAUUAGAAUAUUAGUUUUCAUUAAAAAAAUAAAAAUAUUGUCCUCAUAUGUAGAAAAAAAGCUUGAAGAGUGUCCCCUAAAGAUUCC